GCUAAGCUGCUAAGGCUGGCCUUGAACUUGAAAUCCUCCUGUCUCAGCCUCCUAAAUAGCUGGAAUUACAGGCGUGUACCACCACACCCAGCAUAUAUGUGUUUAAUGGAAAAUUUUAAGAUAUAAUUGAUGUCCUUGAUUUAAAAAAAAAUCUGAGCUAGGCACUGUGAUGCACACUUGUAAUUCCAGCAACUGGGUCGGUUGAGGCAGGAGGAUGACAAGUUCAAGGCCAGCCUCAGCACUUAACAAGAUACUGUCUCAAAACAACAGUUGAUGGGGGGUGCCCUGGGGAUGAAGCUUAGAAUGAACCCCUGGGUUCAAUAACUCGGGCGUGCACACACACACACAGAUUAAAGAAAAAAAAUGACUGGAUGGUAUUAACAGUUGAUCGAACAACAAAGAAGAAAGGGUUAGUAAAUUUGAAAAGAAUGAAAUGUGAUUUAAAAUCACAAUGAAAUCAAGUGUCUGUCACAUAUCUGUAAUUCCAGCCACUCAGGCUCAGGCAGAUGGAUCCAAAGUUUGAGGCUAGCCUGGGCAAUUCAGUAAGAGUCUCAAAAUGAAAAAGUAAAAAGUCUUAAAGCUGUAGAUGUAGCACAGUGGUAAAGUAUCUCUGGAUUUAAUUCCCAGUAUUGCCAAACACACACACACACACAAUGGAUACUGCUUUAUACCUUCAAGAAUAGCUAAAAUUAAGAGAAUGACAAUAUCAAAUUUUACGAGGAAUGUAGAAGGUUUGCAACUCUCAGACACUGCUAGUGGGAGUGUAAAGUGAGAUAACCACUUUGCAGAUGUCACUCUGCCCUUGUCUGAAUGUUCAUGUCCUCCAAACUUAAUGUGUUGAAACCCUAACUCCCAAGGUAAUAGUAUCAGGAUGUGAGGCCAGUGGAGGUGAUCCCAUCCUAGGGCAGAGCCCCCCAUAAAUAGGAUUACAGCCCUUAGAAGAGGAGCCUAAGACCCCUAGCCUUUCCCAGCCCUUACGCAUCCUGCGUCUACAGGUGUCUUGAUAUUGGACUUCGAGCCAAAGGAACUGAGAAGUUUCCCAUUGUCUAUAAGCCACACACCUUAGAGCACUUUGUUACAGUCCCUAGCCCCCCACCCAAGGAACCAAGACCACCUCCCUGUGGCUCAACAGUGCAGCCCUAGGAACUUACUCAGGAGUGAAAAUGGAAAUUAACAGAGGGUCAUUUGAAAAUGUCCAUAGUGAAGUUAUUCUAAUAGCCUCAAAACUGGGAACACCCCAAAUGUCAUCCAUGGGUAGACAGAUUCGAAGUUGUCUUGUUAGUGUAGGACCGCAAGGUAGUGCAGGCAUAGGCAGAGCUUAUGGUGGUGAGCCUCAGGACAGCAGUUGGCCCCAGUGGGGUGCUGACUGGAGCCUUGGGCCACUUGUUAGGGUUUAUGGCACCAUGGCACACAUUUGUCAGACUCAUAAAACCACAUACUGAAAGGUGGUUUUUGGUUUAUGCCAACAUUUUUUACAGAAUGACGUUAGAUGAAGCCUUACCAUUUGGUACUAUGCCCUUUUGUGUUCUGUUGUGGUACUAGGGAUCCAUCCCAGGGGUGCUCCACCACUGAGCUACACCCCCAGCCUUACUCUUUGGACACAACCUUGCUGAGCUGCUGAAGGGGCUGUAGCUGGAGAUCUCCCAGUUUCAGCCUGGGCGUGGCUAGAACCACAGGUGUGCAUCGACAUGCCCACUGUAACACCCUCUUAGCUUUCCCGUGGUAUGAAGUGGCCAGCUUUCCAAGAAAACCUCCUAGUGCCGGCAGCGGCAGGACAGCUCUCAGCCAGCACUGGCUUAGGGCGUGUGCUGCAUGGCUGGGCAGUGGUGCUGGGGGUAGGUGUGUUGAGUGCAUUUCCAACUUAUCUUCAACUUACAGUAGUUCAUCAGGCAGCAGGUAACCCCACCCUAAGUUGGGGAGCAUGGUACCGUGAGCGUGGCUGUCCCCAACAUUUACCAUUCAGCCUUUGUGACAGCACCAGGCCUGGCCAACCAGGCCUAGCCAGAUCACCUGCCUUCUGGGUGAAUUUAGGUGACAAACUCGAUUCCUGUGAAGCAGGAAUGAGUACCUGUCUUGGAGGUGAGGCAGCAUGUGCCAUGCCCUGGCCACAGAGCCUCUGUCCUGUGAAGCUGUCAUUGCUGGAGCCCGGCUGCCAGCUUGUAUCUACACACAGGCCUCUCAGUGGGGCAGAGGUCUCCCAGUCACCCAGGGUUCCUGGAGUGCCGAGAGAACCGUUGCGAGAAUAAGCCACGGUGAAGAGAUGUCCUCUACAAGAAGUGCUGCCACAGGAAGGAGCAGAUGCAAGCAGUGCCCAGCUCCUAGGCUGCUCCAUGCAACAGGAGAGCCAGGGUCUCGUGCCCACGCUUCACAACAGCCGUGCCUGAGAGCCGACAGUGGUCCUCCUCCCCAGAGCUGUGAAGCCUCCCUCAUCAGUUUUCUUACGCUUGACCUGCCACCGGCAAGACCAGUGUCUCAUUUCAGUCACUUGAGUUUGGGGUUUCUGACUGUACUGUCAUGAUGGGGUCCUGAUGGCACCGUCUCCUCACUCCCACCCAGUGCCACCUACGUGCAGUUAACAGAAGGAGUCAGACCCCCAGGUAAGCAGCUCUGCUGCUGGCCUCCAUCUACCAUGAGGCAGGAGGGAGAGGAUUUGCCCACCAGGUGGCGCUGGAUUCCUACGGCUGAGCAGAUGAAGCCUGGAAGAAUGGCAGCCUUGGAGGAGCGGUUUGAGCAUUCUUUACAUUAGCUGGAUUUCUCACAUCUUGUGGUAAGACUGGCAGGCACACAGAGCCAAGGAAAUGACGCACUGAAGCAGGGCCCAAAAUGCUAAGGUGGGUCCUGCAGGUGCUAGAGCACCUGUCCCACACAUGGAGGCCAAAGGAAGCGCUCUGCGGGUUGGAUGAAGAAUGAUUCAGAAAAACAACAGCUCUUUUCCUGAUUUUGGCAUAAACCCCCUUAUUCGAAAUGGAGACGGCAUCUCAAGCAGCUCAGAGGAAGGGGCGCCAGGAGCUCCCUGCACUGACUGGGGAAGGCGGCGUUGAAGUUCUGCCCGUGUUGCGCUGUCCUGCUGAUGUGGUAGGCUAGCAAUACUUUGGUUAAAAUCAUGUUUGUGACUGUAA